rnacentral:rRNA from 1 species
AACGAACGCUGGCGGCGUGCUUAACACAUGCAAGUCGAACGUGAAAGGCUUCGGCCGAGUAAAGUGGCGCACGGGUGAGUAACGCGUGGGUAAUCUGCCCUUGGGCGGGGGAUAACCUCUCGAAAGGGGGGCUAAUACCGCAUGAGACCACGGCUUCUCGGGGCUGUGGGAAAAGGUGGGUCGCAAGGCCUGCCACCUGAGGAUGAGCCCGCGUACCAUUAGGUUGUUGGUGGGGUAAUGGCCUACCAAGCCGAAGAUGGUUAGCUGGUCUGAGAGGACGAUCAGCCACACUGGGACUGAGACACGGCCCAGACUCCUACGGGAGGCAGCAGUGGGGAAUAUUGCGCAAUGGGGGAAACCCUGACGCAGCAACGCCGCGUGUGUGAAGAAGGCCUUCGGGUCGUAAGCACUGUUGGAGGAACGAGCCGCUCGUGGGGAAGUAUCUGCGAGCCCGACGGUACCUCCUGAGGAAGCACCGGCUAACUCCGUG